rnacentral:misc_RNA from 1 species
GAGAAGAACGCAGCGAAAUGCGAUAAGUAAUGUGAAUUGCAGAAUUCAGAGAAUCAUCGAAUCUUUGAACGCACAUUGCGCCCGCCAGUAUUCUGGCGGGCAUGCCUGUCCGAGCGUCAUUUCAACCCUCGAGCCCCCCCGGGGGCUCGGCGUUGGGGAUCGGCCCCUCACCGGGCCGGCCCCGAAAUACAGUGGCGGUCUCGCCGCAGCCUCCCCUGCGCAGUAGUUUGCACACUCGCACCGGGAGCGCGGCGCGUCCACGGCCGUAAAACAACCCAAACUUCUGAAAGGUUGACCUCGGAUCAGGUAGGAAUACCCGCUGAACUUAAGCAUAUCAAUAAGCGGAGGA